rnacentral:rRNA from 1 species
UUAGGCGAGAGCACCCGCUGAACUUAAGCAUAU